rnacentral:rRNA from 1 species
UACAGAGGGGGCAAGCGUUGUUCGGAAUUACUGGGCGUAAAGGGCGCGUAGGCGGCCCGCUAAGUCGAACGUGAAAUCCCCAGGCUUAACCUGGGAACUGCGUCCGAUACUGGUGGGCUUGAAUCCGGGAGAGGGAUGUGGAAUUCCAGGUGUAGCGGUGAAAUGCGUAGAUAUCUGGAGGAACACCGGUGGCGAAGGCGGCAUCCUGGACCGGUAUUGACGCUGAGGCGCGAAAGCUAGGGGAGCAAACAGG